rnacentral:rRNA from 1 species
GAUGAACGCUGGCGGCGUGCCUAAUACAUGCAAGUCGAGCGAACAGACGAGGAGCUUGCUCCUCUGACGUUAGCGGCGGACGGGUGAGUAACACGUGGAUCACCUACCUAUAAGACUGGGAUAACUUCGGGAAACCGGAGCUAAUACCGGAUAAUAUAUUGAACCGCAUGGUUCAAUAGUGGAAGACGGUUUUGCUGUCACUUAUAGAUGGAUCCGCGCCGCAUUAGCUAGUUGGUAAGGUAACGGCUUACCAAGGCAACGAUGCGUAGCCGACCUGAGAGGGUGAUCGGCCACACUGGAACUGAGACACGGUCCAGACUCCUACGGGAGGCAGCAGUAGGGAAUCUUCCGCAAUGGGCGAAAGCCUGACGGAGCAACGCCGCGUGAGUGAUGAAGGUCUUCGGAUCGUAAAACUCUGUUAUUAGGGAAGAACAAAUGUGUAAGUAAUUAUGCACGUCUUGACGGUACCUAAUCAGAAAGCCACGGCUAACUACGUG